UGUAUAAUCAAUUUAAUCAUCUGCAUUUCUUGUUCAACAUUCAACAAUUUGAUCGAUUAAGGAUUAUUGAAUUAGAUAAAGUGAUCAAGUGGUGGAAUUGUCUAAAUCUCUCUUCACCGAUGGAAUUCUCUCUCUCCCUCUCCCUCUCUGUUUCCGUGAGGAUAGAUGUUGAAGCUGUCGAGGCAGCUCCUCCGCUCCUCAAUAAAAUUAGUUGAUGUAGGAUCUUUUUGUUGGCUCUCACUUGCUAUAGGCAUCGUGGAACUCCUCAUCUACAUCAAGUUUGGACACAGUGAAGGAAGUAGGAACUUUACCGAUCAAAUGUUCAUGGUUCAGCUGAAUAUGAACGCUAUUUACUUUUCAUACAAUUUGUUUUGUGAAUUAUUUAGCCUAUGUUAUGUAACUUUUUUUUUGAUAUAGAAGUAAAAUGCUCGAACUAGCUGGGGUAGUGAGCAAAUGUUCAGCACAACAAAAAAACAAAGCUCCGCAACAAAACAAACACAAGCAAAGAAGCUAAAGCCAACACACCUCACAAACUCCUAAAAACUUAUGUCGGGGGCACCCCGACACACCAAAAGCACAAAGGGAGGGGAGGAACAUAAACAAAACACCCAAGCGGCAGCAGAGCCAAAAAAGUCAGCAACAAAGAAAACCCCUAUUCUCGCACAACCUCAUGAAGAGAAAAACAUACCCGUGAGGAUACGCUCGCCGAUCUCUACCCCAACUAAGAGUAUUCUGUAUAAAAAUUCGACACCGAUUGAGGAUACAAAUUCACUCUUCUUCUUCCUUUAAAGAUUUUCGGGUCUUGUCAUUCUCUAAUAUCUUUCAAAUUUUCCACCAUUUGUCCCGGUGAGAAGGGAAAGUUUGGACUCCACCCACGUAACCAAGUGCCAAGACGCCACACCAACCUUUUUUCCUCGAACUCCCAAUUUGGUUUGAAUCCUUGGAAUGUGAUUUUAUUCCUGAUGUCACAGAAAAUGUUACAUAUAAGUCAAAUGUUAUAAAUGAUUUCUGUAAAGGAGUACCAGGUUCAGUUUAUAUGUGUACACAUGGUGGAUAAUGAUUGUUCUCCUAUCAGGAUAUGAGCCAACAAACUCAGUACAUGGGUAGAUUGCUAAAGAUCUACAUGGAAAUGAAUGACAAUCAAGCAUAUGUAUGGAG